UGUGGUACAGAUUAUUUAUGAUGAAUCAGCCAAAGACUGAUCAGAAAGUAUUGUUGGCAAAGGAAUGAACAAGGAGCUGAUGUAAGCAGUGUGCUCGUGAUCACAAAUAUGAUCACACCGAGGUACAUAAACUAAUCUUUCCCCAGGGACUGCUCUAACAUAAUGUUAGAGUCCAUGUUUUCCAGUUCCCUGGUGUGGGGGAAGGUAGGAAUGGAACGUUUUCCUGAAUGUGUCUACAUCCCUCUAUAACCAUCCAUACCUGGAGCCAGAGCCCUGAAGGGAGCUGUGCUGAGUCACCCAGCUGAAACCUCCUUUUCUUUUGGCAUUUAAAAAGCUAAGUGGGCUUCCUAAAGGAGGCACGUCUGGUCUCACGCCGUGCUCCAGCAUCAAUGGCCAGAGAGCUCUGUUCUUUGAGGCAAAGCAUCUGUGCUCACCACAUUGCCUUUCACAGUCUUCUUGUGGAAUCAGAAGAGAAAAUGAUCGCAACAUCGGGAUUUCCCAUAGGAUGGAAACUCUGGUCCAUCCAUAUUAU
rnacentral:lncRNA from 1 species